UACGAAGGGGGCUAGCGUUGUUCGGAUUUACUGGGCGUAAAGCGCACGUAGGCGGUUUGUUAAGUCAGAGGUGAAAUCCCGGAGCUCAACUCCGGAACUGCCUUUGAUACUGGCAAGCUAGAGUCCGGAAGAGGUAAGUGGAACUCCUAGUGUAGAGGUGGAAUUCGUAGAUAUUAGGAAGAACACCAGUGGCGAAGGCGGCUUACUGGUCCGGAACUGACGCUGAGGCGCGACAGCGUGGGGAGCAAACAGG
rnacentral:rRNA from 1 species